rnacentral:other from 1 species
CCCCCUCUGCGGUGUUCGAUACCGAACAGUAUUCCCAGACCCGACUUCCUAUCCGCAGGGAACUGCUCAGGAGCGGCUGAAUGUAAAUCCGGGAGUUGAUUUCCUAGUGAAAUUGGCUGACCGGCUCACAGGACCCGUUCCAGCGGUGCCCACUUUAAACUGCGGGUCAGGAGAAAUCCGUUCGCCGGCACCCGCGGAGGUUUU